UCACUGGAGUUUAAUUUAGGGCUUUCCGGGAGAUUACUGGGAGCUUUUUGGGGUUUACUGGGAAUGCUGGGGGUGACUGGGAUCAGUGGGUUAUGGAGGGCACUGAGGGUUACUGAGAGCUCAGGGAGGCCCUUGGAAUUACUGGGAUCACUGGGAAUUCCUGGGUUGCUGCAGGGAUUACUGGGAGCUUGGGGAGCUCUGUGGGGAGGGGUGGACCCCUAUAUCCACCCCUAUAUCCACCCCUAUAUCCACCCCUAUAUCCACCCCUAUAUCCACCCCUAUAUCCACCCCUAUAUCCACCCCUAUAUCCACCCCAGUCACCUUCUCUGGUGUCCCAUCCUGGGGGACACCGACCCCAUGGGUGACUCCUCGUCACCAGCCCCGUCUCCCUCUCUGGGGAGGUUUUGGGGGCUCCAGGGACCUCUCUGAGGUGACCUCAGUGGCCCUGGGGCUCCGUUUUGGGGGGUCCCGAGCCCCCCACCCCACAAAGGAGCCGGCGUUUGGUGACAAACGGAGGUGGUGGAGGAAGGUGUGGGGUGACUUUGUCUUCUCUCCCUGUCUCAGUGUUUGACUGCCCCGUGUGCCACCAGCAGUGUCCCCUGGGUGACAUCAUGGAGAACUUCUUCCUGCAGGAGAGCGUGGCUGGGACAGCCCUGGGCCAGGGCAGCGGGCAGAGCUGCACCAGCUGCGAGGACAACGCAGCAGCCACCAGCUUCUGCCUGGAGUGUGCGGAGCCGCUGUGUGACACCUGCGUGGACGCGCAUCAGAGGGUCAGGUACACCCGGGACCACACUGUGCGGGCCUUGGGUGAGUCCUUGUCACCCCCCUGUCACCUCUGUCACCCCCUGUCACCUCUGUCCCUGCCCUCUACGAGGUGCUGACCCUGUCAGUGCACCCAUCCCGGUGCUGUUCCCAGCGUCACCCCGAUGUCAUUCCCGUGUUCUCUCGGUGUCAUCCUGGUGCCAUCCUGGUGCUGUUCCUGGCCCUAUCCCAGUUCUGUUCCUGUGCCAUUCCCAGUGCCAUCCCAACACCAUUCCCAAUCCUAUCCCAGUUCUGUUCCUGUGCCAUUCCCAGUGCCAUUCCAGUGCCAUACCAGCACCAUUCCCAGUGCCAUCCCAGCACCAUUCCUGGUGCCAUUCCCAGUGCCAUCCCGGUUCUGUUCCUGUGCCGUUCCCAGUGCCAUUCCAGCACCAUUCCCGUGCCAUUCCCAGUGCCAUCCCGGUGCCAUGCCCAAUCCUAUCCCAGUUCUAUUCUUGUGCCAUUCCCAGUGCCAUCCUCGUGCCAUUCCUGUGCCAUUCCCAGUGCCAUUCCAGCACCAUUCCUGGUGCCAUUCCCACUGCCAUCCUGGUGCCAUUCCCAGCCCUAUUCCAGUUCUGUUCCCAUGCCAUUGCCAGUGCCAUUCUUGUGCCAUUCUUGUGCCAUCCUGGUGCCAUUCCCAGUGCCAUUCCUAUGGCGUUGCCAGUGCUAUUCCAUCACCAUUCCUGUGCCAUUCCCAGUGCCAUUCCAGCACCAUUCCUGGUACCAUUCCCGGUCCUAUUCUAGUUCUGUUCCCAUACCAUUGCCAGUGCCAUCUCUGUGCCAUCCUGUGCCAUUCCUGUCCCUAUUCUGGUUCUGUUCCUGUGCCUUUCCCAGUGCCAUCUUGGUGCCAUUCCCAGUGCCAUCCCAGUUCUGUUCCAGUGCCAUUCCCAGUGCCAUCCUGGUGCCAUUCCCAGUGCCAUCCCAGUUCUGUUCCAGUGCCAUUCCCAGUGCCAACCCUGUGCCAUUCCUGGUACCAUCCCAGCACCAUUCCUGGUACCAUACCCAGUGCCAUCCUGGUGCCGUUCCCAAUCCUAUCCCAAUUCUGUUCUUGUGCCAUUCCCAGUGCCAUCCUGGUACCAUUCCCAGUGCCAUUCCCAGUGCCAUUCCCAGUGCCAUCCUGGUACCAUUCCCAGUGCCAUCCUGGUACCAUUCCCAGUGCCAUCCUGGUGCCAUUCCCGGUGCCAUUCCCGGUGCCAUUCCCAGUGCCAUUCCCAGUGCCAUCCUGAUACCAUUCCCAGUGCCAUUCCCAGUGCCAUCCUGGUACCAUUCCCAUGCCAUUCCCGGUGCCAUCCCGGCACCAUUCCUGGUCCUGUGCUGGCUCCAUCCCGGUGCUGUUCUCAGUUUGGUCCUGGUGUGAUCCCAGCACCGUUACCGGUACCAUUCCUGGUGCCAUCCCAGCAGCAUUCCCAGCCCUAUCCCAGUUCCUCCUGGGACCAUCCCAGUGCCAUUCCUGGUACCGUUCCCAGUGCCAUCCCAGUGCCAUUCCUGGUGCCAUCCCAGCAGCAUUCCCAGCCCUAUCCCAGUUCCUCCUGGGACCAUCCCAGUUCCAUUCCUGGUACCGUUCCCAGUGCCAUCCCAGUGCCAUUCCUGGUGCCAUCCCAGCAGCAUUCCCAGCCCUAUCCCAGUUCCUCCUGGGACCAUCCCAGUGCUAUUCCCGGUGCCAU
ensembl:lncRNA